AUUGAACGCUGGCGGAAUGCUUUACACAUGCAAGUCGAACGGUAGAGGGGGCAACCCCUCGAGAGUGGCGAACGGGUGAGUAAUAUAUCGGAACGUACCUUAUCGUGGGGGAUAACGCAGCGAAAGCUGCGCUAAUACCGCAUACGCCCUGAGGGGGAAAGCGGGGGACCGUAAGGCCUCGCGCGAUUAGAGCGGCCGAUAUCUGAUUAGCUUGUUGGUGGGUAAAAGCCCACCAAGGCGACGACGGGUAGCCGGCCUGAGAGGGUGACCGGCCACACUGGAACUGAGACACGGUCCAGACUCCUACGGGAGGCAGCAGUGGGGAAUAUUGCACAAUGGGCGCAAGCCUGAUGCAGCAACGCCGCGUGAGGGACGAAGGCCUUCGGGUUGUAAACCUCUUUAGUCAGGGAAGAAGCGAAAGUGACGGUACCUGCAGAAAAGACACCGGCUAACUACGUG
rnacentral:rRNA from 1 species